rnacentral:rRNA from 1 species
UACCUGGCAGGUCGUAGGGGUAUACGAGAGCUUGCUUUCUAGAGACCGGCGGAUGGGUGAGUAACGCGUAUGCAACCUACCUUUUACAGGGGAAUAGCCCGGAGAAAUUCGGAUUAAUGCUCCAUGGUUUAAUUGAAUGGCAUCGUUUGAUUAAUAAAGAUUUAUCGGUAAAAGAUGGGCAUGCGUAUCAUUAGCUAGUUGGUGUGGUAACGGCAUACCAAGGCUACGAUGAUUAGGGGUCCUGAGAGGGAGAUCCCCCACACUGGUACUGAGACACGGACCAGACUCCUACGGGAGGCAGCAGUGAGGAAUAUUGGUCAAUGGAGGCAACUCUGAACCAGCCAUGCCGCGUGCAGGAUGACGGUCCUAUGGAUUGUAAACUGCUUUUGUACGGGAAGAAAUGUGAUUACGUGUAAUUAUUUGACGGUACCGUAAGAAUAAGGAUCGGCUAACUCCGUGCCAGCAGCCGCGGUAAUACGGAGGAUCCGAGCGUUAUCCGGAAUUAUUGGGUUUAAAGGGUUCGUAGGCGGUUGAGUAAGUCAGUGGUGAAAUCUUAUAGCUUAACUAUAAAAUUGCCGUUGAUACUGCUUGACUUGAAUAGUAUGGAAGUAAUUAGAAUAUGUAGUGUAGCGGUGAAAUGCUUAGAUAUUACAUGGAAUACCAAUUGCGAAGGCAGAUUACUACGUACUUAUUGACGCUGAUGAACGAAAGCGUGGGUAGCGAACAGGAUUAGAUACGCUGGUAGUCCACGCCGUAAACGAUGGAUACUAGCUGUUCGGUUUUCGGACUGAGUGGCUAAGCGAAAGUGAUAAGUAUCCCACCUGGGGAGUACGUUCGCAAGAAUGAAACUCAAAGGAAUUGACGGGGGCCCGCACAAGCGGUGGAGCAUGUGGUUUAAUUCGAUGAUACGCGAGGAACCUUACCAAGGCUUAAAUGUAGAUUGACAGGUUUAGAGAUAGACUUUUCUUCGGACAAUUUACAAGGUGCUGCAUGGUUGUCGUCAGCUCGUGCCGUGAGGUGUCAGGUUAAGUCCUAUAACGAGCGCACCCCUAUUGUUAGUUGCCAGCGAGUCAAGUCGGGAACUCUAACAAGACUGCCGGUGCAACCGUGAGGAAGGUGGGAUGACGUCAAUCAUCCGGCCCUUACUUCUGGGCUACCCCGUGCUACAUGGCCGUAAAAAAGCGCUUCCGGCACUGGAUG